UACGGGGGGGGCAAGCGUUGUUCGGAAUUACUGGGCGUAAAGGGCUCGUAGGCGGCCAACUAAGUCAGACGUGAAAUCCCUCGGCUUAACCGGGGAACUGCGUCUGAUACUGGUUGGCUUGAAUCCGGGAGAGGGAUGUGGAAUUCCAGGUGUAGCGGUGAAAUGCGUAGAUAUCGAGAGGAACACCUGCGGCGAAGGCGGGUUGCUGGGCUGACACUGACGCUGAUGCGCGAAAGCUAGGGGAGCGAACGGG
rnacentral:rRNA from 1 species